UUCUAAGACUGGCCCAGCCAGGCUCAAUGGCAUCCCAUCUACAUCUACAUUCAGGGAUGACUUCCUCCAGACACAUGUGUUGUAGUUCGGAGCAGCAGUUCCUACAAAGAUGAGACCCUGGCUGGGUGAGGUCCGGAUCUUAGCUGCACCAGUUCCCAGCACUGUGACACUGGGCAGGUGAUCUAACUUUUCCCUGAGCCUCCGUCUUCCCAUUUGGGGAAUACCUGCCUUUCACGGCAGUAGUGAGAUUGCAAGGCCAAAAUGGAUGUGAGGGCUCCGGAUCAGUGGACCCUGGACCUACACAGAAUAGGAGCUCAGUAAAUGUUGCUGUUGUUAUUAACGGGCUGUGGCUCGUAAGUGUAUUCACAUGGAAAAGGUUUGAACUGUGAAGUCCUGGGGGAAAAGUGACAUUCAAAAGACGGAAGCUUCUUGGAGCAGUUCUGUAACCAGGUCAGGCUGACUCCUGCAAACUGCAAGGUAAAAAUCAUCCAUCCAGCCCGUGAGCCCAUGGCUCUCAGAGAUCCCAGGAGGCUUGUGUGUCUAAACUGGAACGUGCCAGAAGAGGCUGCUUUCCAAGAUCCUUUCUCUGGAGGCCAGGCUGGAGUCCCCUGAGAGAAUGAGGGCAUCGUGCUACAUUUUAGACUGCAACUGGGAUUGACCCAUUUGCCAGCCGUGACAGCCAUGUGUCCCAGUGGAAAAUCCCCAGGGUGGAGCCAGAAUAACCUAGGCCUGAAACCUGCACGUUCUGUGAGUUUGGGAAAGUCACUUCAUCUCAUGGGCCUCAGUUUUUCAAUUUGCAAGAUGGAAACAAUACUGGCCAUGGGGGUCUGUUGCAAGGAUUAAAUCAACAAAUGCACGUGGCAUGUGGCUGUGGCUCCAGGUGGGGGUCAGGAACCUGCAUGUAUUGAGUCCUUACAGUGUGUAAGGCCAUUGCUAAGUGCUAGUGAUACACAGACAAAUUAGAUAUGGAUCCUGCAUUCAGGGGCAAGCUUGUGGUACAGCUAACUGAACAGAUAACAAAUGAUGAUAAAAGAUAAUCUCUGCUCAGUACUGUUUCUUUCAACAAGAGAUGUGCCAAUGUGUGCUGAAUAUGAGUUGUCCAUGGAAGUAAAAAUAUACUUCAAGAUAAUAUUCAUGUCUUGGAGACUAUGGCCCUACAGUUUAUGGAAUCAUAGAAAUACUGAAAGUAACCAUCUACAUAUGAUAAGUCUGUUCAUUUUAAUAGUAAUGACAAAAAUACUGUUAUAGCAUUUGACCUUCAAAACAACUCCACAGGUAGAGAUUCUUGUCCCCAUUCUACAGAUGA
rnacentral:lncRNA from 10 species